rnacentral:rRNA from 1 species
UUGGAGGGCAAGUCUGGUGCCCGCAGCCGCGGUAUUCCAGCUCCAAUAGCGUAUAUUAAAGUUGUUGCAGUUAAGAAGCUCGUAGUUGAAUUACGGAAUCAGUGGAUCGGUCAUGCCACUCCGUGUGUACUGGUUUGAUUGGUUCUCACCUUCUAAGGAACCGUGAUGUCAUUAAUUUGGUGUCGCGGGGAAUUAGGACUGUUACCUUGAAAAAAUUAGAGUGUUUAAAGCAAGCUCACGCUUGAAUACAUUAGCAUGGAAUAAUGAAAUAGGACAUUGUAUUCUAUUUUGUUGGUUUCUAGGAUCGAUGUAAUGAUUAAUAGGGAUAGUUGGGGGCAUUAGUAUUCAAUUGUCAGAGGUGAAAUUCUUGGGUUUAUUGAAGACUAACUACUGCGAAAGCAUUUGCCAAGGAUGUUUUCAUUAAUCAAGAACGAAAGUUAGGGGAUCGAAGACCAUCAGAUACCGUCGUAGUCUUAACCAUAAACUAUGCCGACUAGGGAUCGGAUGAUGUUAAUUUUUUAAUGACUCAUUCGGCACCUUACGGGAAACCAAAGUGUUUGGGUUC